AUCCAGCUGACGAGUCUCAAACAGGACGGAACGCGCGUCCUGGAU
rnacentral:hammerhead_ribozyme from 1 species